rnacentral:lncRNA from 1 species
AGAAGGGACAAAGGGGAGGACGUUUCUUCUCUCCGCUUAAAUUGCUCAACCUCUUACUUUGGCCUGAGAAGGCCUGGAGCAGGUAAAAUAUACUUAAUUCCCGGUCCGAGGAAGACAACACAAAAGUCUUAUCCAAUCACAGCAUUAAGGUCAAAGUCCACAUAUUGAGUCUGGGUACUUCCUUUGGAUGCAAAGACCCACGAACCAAAAAGAUUACAAUCUGACCCCCAUCUCCGGUGGUGAAAUAGAAAGAAGAUGAUCACACCC